AAUGUAAAACUUUAUCUAUAUAAAAAUUUUAUUUUAUUAAAGAAGGUGCUUAAAACAAAGUCAAAGAUAAAUGCUAGAUUAACAGGUGAAUUUUGUAAUACCUAUAACAUAAAAGGUUACUACUACUAUACAUAACAAAAUACAAACGACCCAAUUAAAAAAAUGGGCAAAGAAUAUAAACAGGCCAUUCAGAGAUAGCAAUUCCAAAGAAACAAUAAACAUAAAAGACACACAACCUCCCUAUUAGGAAGAUGAAAGUAAACUAAUAAUUACCACAUUAUAGUAUCAGAUUGGCAAUAAUUUUGACAAAUUAACAAGACAAUUGGAUGGGAUUGGGAGAAAAGGGGAUCCAGCUAGACAAUAGGCAUUGGCUCCUGAUUUCUCUCACAGUAAAAAUAAAAGGUGCUCACAGUGACCUACAAGACUCUCCCCUACAUAAUUGAUUUCCUCUCUUGCUCAUGUCUCUCUAGGCUACAUCCCUUCCUGGUGUUAUGUGAUCAUAUCUCCUGCCUUAGGGUCCUUGCAGUAGCUAUUUCCUUGGCCAAGAACACUCUCACUUGUCUUAUUCAGGUGUAGGUUUAAAUGAGGUCACCCAAACAUGACAGCCCUAUUGAAAUUUGCAACCCUCCUCCCCGUUGUUCCCCCAGCAUUCUGUUCUCCUUAUCUCCCUUAUCCUGCUGUCCUUUUUUUUUUUUACAUAGCAUAUGUCCUCUUACAUGAUCCUAUAUAAUUUAGUUAUGCUUAUUAUUUCUUUCUCUACUUAUUCCAUGCAGUAUAUAAAUUCUACAAGGGCAGAAUCUUUGUUCAUCCCAAUGAUGUAAGCCAAGCACCUAGAACAGUGCCUGGCACCAAGAGAUGCCCACAAUUUUUUUACAAAUGAAUUAAUGAAUGGAUGGAUGGAUGAAUGAAUGAAUGAGUGAUUGAGUGAGUGAGUUCACAGGGAAAGAAAUCACAUUUUGGUAUAAAAAGCUAUUGCCUUAAUCUCUUUUAUAUUUUAAAGGAGAGAAAAGUAAUUGAACAUUCUGCUAGUCUGAAAAUAGAUUUGAAAUGAAGAUACACCAAGACCCACAAAGAUUUCUUUUCAGGAAAGAAUCACUAAAUGAAAAAUCCUGUGACUAUCAGGCUCUAUAGGCACCAUCAAAAUUCUAAUUCAGUCAGCCCCACCCCCAUCCAGUCACAGCUCUAAUUUAAUCCAACCUUCUUUCAAUUCCUCCAAUUCUAGUAAACCCUCUCAUUUUUACAAAGUUACAAAAUGUGAAAAUUUUGCUUGAAAAUGUUUCUUUGAGGCUUUGAAUAAGAAAAUGAAGAAAACCCCCCAGUGGUCACAAGUCAGAAAUCACGUUAAAACAAACAAACAAACAAACAUAAACAAUGGCAUCUGUUUAAACUGUUUAACUUGAAAAUGCCCAAUUUUCUAAGAUAAAAAAAACAAACUGGUCCUUUGUUUUGACAAGACUAGAUGCCCUGAAGCCCAGAGAGAUGAUUUUCUGGAGACAACUUCAGAAUGAAAUUUGUGAUGGUUCAGGCUAGAUUACUGGAUAAUAGUGUAAUUUUAACACCUUUUACUUAAUAUAAGCACAUGGCUACCUCAUCAGCUGGCCAGCCCAUAAUUACCAAGACAAUUAAAAACAAACAUAUUAAAAAAAAA